CUAAUGCUGACCAAAGGAUAGAGUUCAGUUUAGGGUUUAAAACCCUAAUGCUGACUGAAUGGAAAAGUUCAGUUUAGGGUUUAAAACCCUAAUGCUGAUUGCAUGGAAAAGCUCAGUUUAGGGUUUAAAACCCUAAUGCUGGCUGAAUGGAAAAAAGUUCAGUUUAGGGUUUAAAACCCUAAUGCUGGCUAUAGGAAAAAUUCAGUUUAGGGUUUAAAACCCUAAUGCUGAUUAAAGGAAAAAUUCAUUUUAGGGUUUAAAACCCUAAUGCAGAUUAAAGGAAAAAUUCAGUUUAAGGUUUAAAACCCUAAUGCUGAUUGCAUGGAAAAGCUCAGUUUAGGGUUUAAAACCCUAAUGCUGGCUGAAUGGAAAACGUUCAGUUUAGGGUUUAAAACCCUAAUGCUGGCUAAAGGAAAAAUUCAGUUUAGGGUUUAAAACCCUAAUGUUGAUUAAAGGAAAAAUUCAUUUUAGAGUUUAAAACCCUAAUGCUGAUUAAAGGAAAAAUUCAGUUUAGGGUUUAAAACCCUAAUGCUGAUUGCAUGGAAAAGCUCAGUUUAGUGUUUAAAACCCUAAUGCUGGCUGAAUGGAAAAACUCAGUUUAGGGUUUAAAACCCUAAUGCUGACUAAAAGGAAAAUUCAGUUUAGGGUUUAAAACCCUAAUGCUGAUUAAAAGGAAAAAUUUCAGCAUUAGGGUUUAAAACCCUAAAGCGAAUUAGAUUCUGAUGCAUGCCCCGUAAUG
rnacentral:lncRNA from 1 species